CUUUUAUUGAGAGUUCGAUCCUGGCUCAGGAUGAACGCUGGCGGCGUGCUUAACACAUGCAAGUCGAACGGAGAUUUACCACCUGCUUGCAGGAGGUAAAUCUUAGUGGCGGACGGGUGAGUAACGCGUGG
rnacentral:rRNA from 1 species